UACGUAGGGUGCAAGCGUUGUCCGGAAUUAUUGGGCGUAAAGAGCUCGUAGGCGGUUUGUCGCGUCUGCUGUGAAAACUCGGGGCUCAACUCCGAGCUUGCAGUGGGUACGGGCAGACUAGAGUGCGGUAGGGGAGACUGGAAUUCCUGGUGUAGCGGUGAAAUGCGCAGAUAUCAGGAGGAACACCGAUGGCGAAGGCAGGUCUCUGGGCCACUACUGACGCUGAGAAGCGAAAGCUAGGGGAGCAAACAGG
rnacentral:rRNA from 1 species